rnacentral:rRNA from 1 species
UACAGAGGGUGCGAGCGUUAAUCGGAGUUACUGGGCGUAAAGGGCGCGUAGGUGGAUGUCUAAGUCGGUUGUGAAAUCCCCGGGCUUAACCUGGGAAUUGCAAUCGAUACUGGAUAUCUAGAGUAUGGUAGAGGAAAGCGGAAUUCCCAGUGUAGCGGUAAAAUGCGUAGAUAUUGGGAAGAACACCAGUGCGAAGGCGGCUUUCUGGACCAAUACUGACACUGAGGCGCGAGAGCGUGGGGAGC